UAUGAAGAACGUAGCGAAAUGCGAUACUUGGUGUGAAUUGCAGAAUCCCGUGAACCAUCGAGUCUUUGAACGCAAGUUGCGCCCGAAGCCAUUAGGCCGAGGGCACGCCUGCCUGGGCGUCACACGUCGUUGCCCCCCCAUCUACUCCUUCGGGAUUGCGGGGGGCGGAUGAUGGCCUCCCGUGCGCCUCGUCGCGCGGUUGGCAUAAAUACCAAGUCCUCGGCGACGCACGCCACGACAAUCGGUGGUUGCGAAACCUCGGUUGCCCGUCGUGUGCGGUCGUCGCGCAUCGAGGGCUCGAAAAAAUUGCCGGGCUCCGGCUCGGCUUUCAACGCGACCCCAGGUCAGGCGUGGUUACCCGCUGAAUUUAAGCAUAUCAAUAAGCGGAGGA
rnacentral:misc_RNA from 1 species